rnacentral:tRNA from 1 species
UGGCUCAAUGGUUAAGAGCACUGGCUAUUGUUCUUCCAGAGGACCUGGGUUCAAUUCCCAG